rnacentral:rRNA from 1 species
UUAGGAAUUUUGGGCAAUGGGCGCAAGCCUGACCCAGCAACGCCGCGUGGGGGACGACGGCCUUCGGGUUGUAAACCCCUUUUCCCAGGGAAGAGCGUGACGGUACCUGGGGAAGAAGUCCCGGCUAACUACGUGCCAGCAGCCGCGGUAAUACGUAGGGGGCCAGCGUUGUCCGGAUUUAUUGGGCGUAAAGCGCGCGCAGGCGGUUCUGCAGGUGGCUCGUGAAAGCGCCCGGCUCAACUGGGAAGGGUCGGGCCAAACGGCAGAGCUGGAGGCUGGUAGGGGGAAGCGGAAUUCCCGGUGUAGUGGUGGAAUGCGUAGAGAUCGGGAGGAACACCAGUGGCGAAGGCGGCUUCCUGGACCAGACCUGACGCUGAGGCGCGAAAGCGUGGGGAGCGAUCCGGAUUAGAUACCCGUGUAGUCC